UACAGAGGUCUCAAGCGUUGUUCGGAUUCAUUGGGCGUAAAGGGUGCGUAGGCGGCCCUGUAAGUCCGCUGUGAAAGUCAAGGGCUCAACCCUUGAAUGCCGGUGGAUACUGCAGGGCUAGAGUCCGGAAGAGGCGAGUGGAAUUCCUGGUGUAGCGGUGAAAUGCGCAGAUAUCAGGAGGAACACCGAUGGCGAAGGCAGCUCGCUGGGACGGUACUGACGCUGAGGAGCGAAAGCGUGGGGAGCAAACAGG
rnacentral:rRNA from 1 species